ACUCCUACGGGAGGCAGCAGUGGGGAAUAUUGCACAAUGGGCGCAAGCCUGAUGCAGCCAUGCCGCGUGUAUGAAGAAGGCUUCGGUUGUGAAUGUAACUUUACAGUCAGUGAGGAAGGAGUGGGGUAUGUUAAUAGCAUAUUCAUUUGACGUUAGCUGCAGAAGAAGCACCGGCUAACUCCGUGCCAGCAGCCGCGGUAAUACGGAGGGUGCGAGCGUUAAUCGGAAUUACUGGGCGUAAAGCGCAUGCAGGUGGUUUGUUAAGUCAGAUGUGAAAGCCCGGGGCUCAACCUCGGAAUUGCAUUUGAAACUGGCAAAACUAGAGUACUGUAGAGGGGGUGAGAAUUGAUCAGGUGUAGCGGUGAAAUGCGUAGAGAUCUGAAGGAAUACCGGUGGCGAAGGCGGCCCCCUGGACAGAUACUGACACUCAGAUGCGAAAGCGUGGGGAGCAAACAGGAUUAGAUACCCUGGUAGGAUAGCGUAGUCGUGGGGGCAA
rnacentral:rRNA from 1 species